CUAGUGAAGCCUCGCGACGCAUCGGAGAAACAUCAAAAAAAUUAUUUCGAAGAGUCUUUCUGCGCAAAUCAUCUCUCAGAUUCUUUUCUUGAUGAUUGCCAUGUGUCACGUGCUUCCAGAUGGGCAUGGGAAAUUGGCUUGGGGUGUGAGAAAAUUUGGAUGGGUGUGAGAUGUCGCAUGGAGAGGGCGAGAGUCAAUUUUGAAUGCAUCCCAUCGCUAACUAUAUAAAGGGGGC
rnacentral:lncRNA from 1 species